CUGUAUUCCGUUUUCUGCUGGAUUAAUGCACUAGGCCAAUAAGAGGGCCUGGCAGGACAGAGAUGGCGAAGUAGCUGGUGGCAGGCGGCGGCCGCAAUAGGUUUGGAGGCCCUGGUGAGUGGGCUGCAGAAAGUCAACUGGGAUUAAGGAAUAUUCAGCAACGAUGCCGGAAAUUUGCAACUGAGGGACGGGCAGAAAAGUACGCCGGAUGCCGGGCGAGGGACGAGAUACCUGACACGCGCUUGAGCCUAAGACAGCAGUGGGCAGAGAUCGGAGCUCUACCCUCCCGGGGCCAGGGCCUAUUAAAUGCCACAGCCUAAAGGCAGCGGAGUUGCGGAGGCUGGAGUGACCGCUGGCUAUCUACUUCCAGGGUGGUGGGUCUCAGAGGACAACUGCUAACCCUGUUGAAGUCAACACGUGGAGUGCAACUGGCGUUGUGGCAUAGCUGGCUCUGGCCUUGGGAUUGUAUGUUUUUACUUGUUCUGCAAAUGGGACACUGGACUGUUUUAUCUUAUCUUUUGAUUGUAUCAAAUUAUCUUUUAGAAUUUUAUUGACUGUCAUCCUUUUGCCCACAGCUGAGACUGUUGGUCAGACCUAGACUCUUUUUGUGUGUGUUAGCCUACACAUACAUGAUUGUUAACCAUUGUUAAAUUUCCCAAUUCUUUGAUCUUUGGGCUGAAGGAAGAACAACACUCGGUGUAUAAAAAUGCUCAAUCAACA
ensembl:lncRNA